rnacentral:rRNA from 1 species
AGAACGAACGCUGGCGGCAUGCCUAAUACAUGCAAGUCGAACGAACUCUUCGGAGUUAGUGGCGCACGGGUGCGUAACGCGUGGGAAUCUGCCCCUUGGUUCGGAAUAACAGUUGGAAACGACUGCUAAUACCGGAUGAUGACGAAAGUCCAAAGAUUUAUCGCCAAGGGAUGAGCCCGCGUAGGAUUAGCUAGUUGGUGAGGUAAAGGCUCACCAAGGCAACGAUCCUUAGCUGGUCUGAGAGGAUGAUCAGCCACACUGGGACUGAGACACGGCCCAGACUCCUACGGGAGGCAGCAGUAGGGAAUAUUGGACAAUGGGCGAAAGCCUGAUCCAGCAAUGCCGCGUGAGUGAUGAAGGCCUUAGGUUGUAAAGCUCUUUUACCCGAGAUGAUAAUGAACAGUAAUCGGAGAAUAAGCCCCGCUAACUCCGUGCCAGCAGCCG